rnacentral:rRNA from 1 species
CCUACGGGGGGCAGCAGUGGGGAAUAUUGCGCAAUGGGCGAAAGCCUGACGCAGCGACGCCGCGUGAGGGAUGAAGGUCUUCGGAUCGUAAACCUCUGUCAGCAGGGAAGAACGGUCACUGUGCUAAUCAGCAGUGAAUUGACGGUACCUGCAAAGGAAGCACCGGCUAACCCCGUGCCAGCAGCCGCGGUAAUACGGAGGGUGCGAUCGGUAAACGGAAUUACUGGGGGUAAAGCGCUCGUAGGGCGGAAGCCAAGUCAAGGGGUAAAUCCCCGCGCUCAACGUGGGAACUGCCUUUGAAACUAGCAAACUGGAGUGUGUGAGAGGAUAUUGGAAUUCCAGGUGUAGGAGUGAAAUCCGUAGAUAUCUGGAGGAACAUCAGUGGCGAAGGCGACUAUCUGGCACAUAACUGACGCUGAGGAGCGAAAGCGUGGGUAGCAAACAGGAUUAGAUACCCCAGUAGUC